CCUCUGGCAGAGCCUUUUCACACACAACUCUGUUUUCCUUCUUCUGAAAGGAGACUCCAUCCCGUUCCCUUUCUCCCCACCUGCUGCUCUUCCCCAUUCCCCUUCCAGUCUCCAGAGAACAUCUCUGCUCCUCAAACCCAUUUACCCACAUUCCUCCAGCCCAGCAGAGAACAAAUACCAGAAUAAAAUCCACAGCUACUUAUUGGGAGACCAGAAUGCAUUAAAAUUUUCAAAACAGUAUCUUCUGCAGAAAUUUAUUUAGUUCAAGGGCUCCACAAAAUCUACAAGUCUCCUACAGGGUAAGAAACUACACAGAGAGAAUCACAGAAUAUUCUGAGCUGGAAGGGACCCACAAGGACCAUCAGACCCCAGAUGCCAUCAAAAGAAAUCUGAAAAAUAAGAAAGCCAUCAUGAAUAUUGAAGAAAUUCCAAAAACCAGAGCACCCAACCCAACCCAGCACACAGAAAAUCUCAGAAACUUUGGGUAAAAAUCUUACUCAGGGUGACAGCUCCUACAGCAUCUGGAUAUUGAACAACCUGACUCAAAUCUGGCCCAGUGCACACCUGGAACCUCUUGAUGGGCUUCGUCACUGGAGAACCUCCACAGACAUGGCCAUGAAUCAGUUGUUAAAUUAAAAGUUACUCAAAACCAGGGAUGUAAAACCACCCCAAAGUGCUGUCACAGUGAUAAGGAAAGAGGCCUGCAGGUUAAGCAGUCACUCUGCUCAGCAGUUUAGCACAUUUGCACUAAAACCCACACAAAGAUGUCAGAAGCAACUCAAAAAUCAGGGGCUGGCACGUGUGAGCAGAUCUCCAGAACAGCCACUGCCCUGAAAUUCCAGCACCUUGAAAUUCAACAUUCCCCUUCCCUUCCCUCUGAACAGGAGGGUCACCAUGCUCUUAAGAAAGGGAUGUCAAGGAAAAAUGAAAAUAAAUUGAGAAGUUUGUGACAUUUUCUUUAAAAACUGAACAAUGGGGUGGUUUCAGUUUUAGGUUUUUAUGGGAAAAAGCCAUUUUUAAAGGGCAGUAACUCCAUGUAUUCUUCCCCAAGCCCAGUUAGGCAAGCAAGUUACCAAAAUGAAAAAUCCCUUCUGCCACAAUUGUAACAAGACAAGAAACAUCAAACCCCGACCCUAAGGUGUUUUGCCUUCAGAUAAAAUAACAAUGAGGAAAAAUGAACAAAAAAAGGAUGGAGAUGGAGGAAGGCUGGGAUAGAUGCAACCUGCAGCCAGAGGACAGCAAACCCUCCUGUGCUUGCAUAACAGCAAAACUCCACUCCAACACAGAAAGUGGAUGUUAGAUAAUGUUCUGAUAGCACAGGGAGCAAGUUUGGGAACCAAGUCUACAUUUUCCCUAAUUACGGCUUGCUGUGCUAUUGGCAUCUCCCCUGCAGCCCAAGCCCAUCUGCCAUAGUGCACAUUAAACAAACACAGCAUCUCACUUGGGGCCUCCUUAUCACAAAGGUAUUAAUCCUUCUUUUUUAUCCCAAACACCUUCAAGGAUGCCUUCACUCCUGAUUUUUCCCUUUGUCUAAAAGCAAUUAAUAGGGUGGUAAAGAACACUGGUUGUUGACACAGGAUUUUACCUUUCCUGAUCUGAAAUACAGAUGUGCAGCCAUGGAGAGCAGAGCUGACCCUUCCCUCGUGAGCAGAGGUACAAGGACAAGUGCUCAGCCCAAUUCUUCCAGCAACACACAAAAUUAGGCCUAGGACAGUUAAUUAUCAAUGAGUUUUCUGCCCAAACUAAGCUUUCAAAAGCAACUUAGCCAUGAAAAGUAAUUUUUUUUUUUUCUGCAUGGGAAUGUUAGUGCUGCAGGGAAACCAGUUGCUGGGCAUAAAGCUUGACAUACACUGGAGAUGUUUAAGUUUUUAUUCAAGAAUAUUGAUACCAAGAUGCAGGCCACUUAAAUUUUCAUUUUUCUGAACAGAAAAGCCAUUCAGCUUAUCAUUCACGUGGCCAGAUUUACAGCAUGAACCAUCUUUGAAUUUGCACUCCCCAAAAGACCAAGGGCAGGUGUAGGGGAAGUUCUCUGAAGGUGCUCCAUGGGGCUCCAGCAGUGUGAUUUUACACACCCUCCAUUCAGAAAUAACUUGAAAAAUUAAGAAAGAAAGAGCAUCAACACCUCUGAGGGUUCAUCAGUUGUUCAGCAGCCCCAUCAGAACUCCCUAAGGAGUUCUGAAAUGGAAUUUAUCCAAUGGAACCAGAAAGGCAACACUGGUUGGAGAAAUCCAGUGGCUUUAAUCUUAAACUUGGGAGACAAUUUGAAGCCCACGUGCCCAAAUCUAUGGGGGCAAGUGGUUGCCAUCAGGCUGAAUUUCAGAAAAUAAGCUGGAGGUUUUGUUGCCCUUCACGUUACCCUCUACAGUGCCACUGUGUGUUGGCAGGGACAGAGCCCAA